rnacentral:rRNA from 1 species
CCUACGGGAGGCAGCAGUGGGGAAUAUUGGGCAAUGGGCGCAAGCCUGACCCAGCAACGCCGCGUGAAGGAAGAAGGCUCUCGGGUUGGAAACCUCUUUUGACAGGGAAGAGUAGAAGACGGUACCUGACGAAUAAGCCACGGCUAACUACGUGCCAGCAGCCGCGGCAAUACGUAGGUGGCAAGUGUUGUCCGGAUUUACUGGGUUUAAAGGGAGUGUAGGCGGGUUGACAAGUCAGUUGUGAAAUCCUGCGGCUUAACCGCAGAACUGCAUUUGAUACUGUUGAUCUUGAGUACUGGAGAGGCAGAUGGAAUUCCUAGUGUAGCGGUGAAAUGCGUAGAUAUUAGGAGGAACACCGGUGGCGAAGGCGGUCUACUGGACUGCAACUGACGGUGAGGCGCGAAAGCGUGGGGAGCAAACAGGAUUAGAUACCCCUGUAGUC